GGAAGCCUAUCUGAAGAAAGACUGCGUAGGUUAGACAGUGCACUCUGGCUCACAGAAACCAGCAAAACCACAAAACAGAGUACUAGACCACAACCUACACACACCAGGAGACAUGAGUGGGGGGCAGAGAGCUUUCUUACUGGCUGGCUCAUAGUUGAGUGGUCUGCACACUGGCCCAGUGCAGUCAGUGUCUGUGAAAAUGGACACAGAUUUUUCCCUUUCGAGACACACACUCCUUGACACUGAGGAGUGGCUGCGUACUUUCCCAGCCCUUGAUUCUGGAUUAGCCUUCAAGCUUAUGUAGAUGUGACAGAGCACAGGACCCCAACCUAGGCCUCAAGAGGCUGUGUCCCCUCGUGGCAGCGAGCUUCGGCUGGUGGAUCAUAUUGGGCAGAGAGAAAACAUCGUUGUUCCAGAAGCCGAGAUUCAGUCUUGCCUGCUCUGUUUAUGGUCAGCUAGCGUUCAGCACGUUUUGGAUCUCUCUGAUGAUCUUACUCAGGGAUGUAGUGAGAACUAAAGAAGGCAAGGCAGGAAAGCACCGGUGUGAAGUAGCUGUCGGGAAGGCCAUUUUAUUGGCUGUUUUCAAGACCUUUUCUCAGCCCUCCUUGGUCCUCUCCUUUUCCAUCUGACUUUUGUCUCUGGACCACUUUCAGCCUGCGUCCCUGUGAACCACACCCUAGGUUCUGCUGAGCUCCUGAUCCAGGCUGGCGUCUGUCUCCGUCUCUCCUCCACCUUUCCUUGCUGGUCACAGUGCACAUCAGUGAUGGCAGCUCCUUGGGAGGCUGAAGCUGAAGCCCAGCUCACGGUUGGCAAUGUGGCGACUGUCUCCAAAUUAAGAAAGGGGAGGACUAGGAUUGUAGCUCUGUGACCCUUGUGCUUGGUGUAUGUGAGGCCUUGGCUCCAAGCUCCAGAACAAGAAAGCCAAGCUGGUGGGGUGAAGGUAACUAAGGCAGAUUAAUAGGAUAGGAUGGCAAUAGCUCUUCCCUUUGUGGAACACGGGUGCGUUCUUCUGUAAUGAAUCUUGAUUUCUGGUGUAACCCAUGCUGACCUGGCUCACUCAGUUUCAGCCUCACUCUCGGUUAUACCUCUUUGUUUAUACUGUCUUGGCACCAUUUGAUAACUCCUGCUUUUAGAAACAAAUACACUCCCCCCCCACCCCCCGAGAUUUUAGUUUUGAGGAAUAUAGAAUUUUCAAGUACUUUCUCUCAAUCAUCUUUUGGAUUUCCCCGGUCUCUGUUUUGUCUCUCCAUUUCCUCUCUAAGCGUAUUGUGUCUUUUUUCAUUUUUGGUUUGACUGAGGUUUAUAAUCUCAUUCAUCUUCUCCAAGGAUCCAAGUGUUAUUACUUUCAUUGUAGUAUCCCUUGGUCUCCAGGUCACUAACUGUAUUAUCCUUCGGUCUCAAGGUCGCUCACCACUGUACUGUCCCUGUCUCCAGGUCACUCACUGCAUUAUCCCUGUCUCUAGGUACUCAGUGUAUUAACCUUCAGCCUCCAGGUCAUCCAUUUCUUCCUUGUUUUUUCAUUCUGUUCCUUCUCUGGCUAAUCUGGGCUCUAUUUGCUUUCAGUUUUCAAAAGUUCAGAGGCCGCCAUUACACUGUUAUUCUCUUAUACUCUCUGAACUCUUUUCUGUUACUGAAGCCUGGCCUUCCUGUGUAGCCCCAGAUGGCUUGGAAAUACAUAGCCUGGGCUGGUCUUGAACUCGGUGAUUCUUCUCCAUCUACUUCUUGGGGCUUUAGGCCUGUUACGUCACACCAGCUCUCUGACUCGAACGUGUAUGUGCCUACGGCUGGGCUCUUCUGUCUCAUCACCACUUCACUGUAGCCCAAAGGCUCUCAUCCUGUCUGCUUUCAUGCUCAUUCCAGGAAUUUCCUCAAUGAGCUACUGAAUUUUCAAGAGUGCCUGACACUGACUCCACUUCUAUAGUUGCUCAGGAUCUUUGCUGCAUUUCUCACCCAAGCUUUCAAACUAAAGUGGAGGCACUUCCUUCCUUUGUUUAUCCACCCUGUUUCAAUCUUCUUUUAGGUCAAUGAUAAUUUUUAUUUCAGAAUUUUUUUUUUUAAGAAUAGGGAUUUACUAAGUUUAAUGUGCACUCUAUUUUGCCUGUAUUUUGUAUGUCUGUGGAGGGUGAGAUCCCCUGAAACUGGUGCUGCAGACGAUUGUGAAUUGUCGUGUAGGUGCUGGGAGUCAAACUUGGGUCCUCCAGAAGGGCGGCCAGGGGUCCUAACUGCUAAGCCACCUCUCCAGCCCUACUUGUGGCUUUUCUUCUACCCAGCAUUUUAACGUUUUGGUAUCUUUGGUUAGUUAUCGGGGAGUUAGUCUUUUGAAGGCAUUGUGUUAGCUGACCUCUUGCUCCUUGGGGUUCAGGUUGAACUUUGUACAUCGUGUGGUUGUAGUUAGGGCUUCCUUUCCCCAGCUGGAGCUGGGGCCACUCCCACUGCUCCUGUGUAGGCUCUGGUUUGUGUUGUUUGUUUUGCUGGUUGGUUGGUUUCUUCUUUCCUCAGCAUGUUGUCUCUGUGGCUGUCUUCAUUCCUCCCAUCCAGUCACAAGGAGACAGCUCCUAACUGGCCACAUUACCCUAGACAUCACAUAGUCUGUGCUUUGGGGGAUCUGCCUAUCAGGGGAUGGUGUUCGUGCAACUAAACUGGGCCAGGGUUGAGAUGCGUGAAGCUAUCCUGAGAGUUAUCCCUUAGAGCUGAGGCUCCCUGGAAGGUUGUCCUAAGUCAGGUGUGAGUGAGUGAGUGAGCCCAAUCUCAUGAACGGCAUAUGACAGACGCUAGACGGAGCUGACAAAGCUUCGCAGAGGCUUCCAUGAGCAACCACGGGCGGCCCUGAGGCAAAGGUACUGUCUGCAAAGCAAAAGAUGUAAAGAACAAGUGGGAGUUUUGGACAUAUCCAAAAUGUUAAAACUCACAGAUGCAUUCAGCAACUGACCCUUUACGGUCUAAAAGAAAGAAACCAGUGGAUUUAACGAGAGAAUGACAGAGAUAAUUAUAAACAUAAGAAAACACAGGGCAGCUCAUAUCUGCCUCUAUCUCCAGUCUUGGGCAUCUGAUGCCCUCUUCUGGCCUCUAUAGACCUGUACUCAUGUGCACCAGCACCACCC
rnacentral:lncRNA from 1 species